GCCAGCGUGGUAUAGUGGUUUGAGUGUUGGACUAUAACUCUGGAGACCAGGGUUUGAAUCCCUGCUCAGCCA